UACGGAGGGUGCAAGCGUUAUCCGGAUUCACUGGGUUUAAAGGGUGCGUAGGUGGGUUUGUAAGUCAGUGGUGAAAUCUCCGAGCUUAACUUGGAAACUGCCAUUGAUACUACAGAUCUUGAAUUUUCUGGAGGUAAGCGGAAUAUGUCAUGUAGCGGUGAAAUGCUUAGAUAUGACAUAGAACACCAAUUGCGAAGGCAGCUUGCUACAGGAAUAUUGACACUGAGGCACGAAAGCGUGGGGAUCAAACAGG
rnacentral:rRNA from 1 species